GUUCUUGUAGUUGAAAAGACAACAGUGGUUUUUCAGGCCAUGGGCCCUAGGUAAAAACUAGGUAAGAACU
rnacentral:tRNA from 1 species